rnacentral:lncRNA from 1 species
CUGUCUUUAGGGUGGCUCCCGGGGAAUGGGUGGGAGGGGUUUGGGGGGGAUCAGUGGGCGGUCUGGGUUACCCCUAAGAGGAAUGUGGGUGUGAUCAGGGCUGCGGAGGGGAUGGGUUUGUGUCUCUGGGUAGGGCCGGCUCGCUCGUGGGGAAUCUGGCUCCGGUUCGAAGAGGAAUCUAUCUGUAGGGUUCUGUCUGUCUUGGGAUCGCCACAUGUGUCUGUCUGCCUACAGGACCUGUCGAUGGAUCACCACGUGUCCAUCUGUCUGGAAGAUCUCUCUGAGGGACUGCCACAUGUCGUUGGGAUCCAUCCAUGGGUCUGUCUGGGGGAUCUCUCUGAGGGACUGCCACGUGUCUGUGGAAUCUGUCCAUGGGAUCACUGCAAGUCUGUGGGAUCCGUCCAUGGGUCUGUCUGGGGGAUCUCUGAGGGACUGCCACGUGUCUGUGGGAUCGCCACGUCCAUCCGUCCAUGGGAUCGCUGUGUCCAUCUGUCUGUCACUCUCUCAGGCUCUACCCAUCUGUCUAUGGGACCCAUCCGUCUCUCAGCUCUGCCGUCUGACCUUCCCAAUACUCCCUCUUGCGCCCAACCCGUAGCAGCAGCGUUAGCCCAACGUGCCUGCUGGGAUUUCUCUCCAAUAUUUAAACUUCUUUUAAACCUGAGACAUUCCAUAAAAACAUCUGCU